AGUGAACGCUGGCGGUAGGCCUAACACAUGCAAGUCGAACGGCAGCACAGUAAGAGCUUGCUCUUACUGGUGGCGAGUGGCGGACGGGUGAGGAAUACAUCGGAAUCUACUUUUUCGUGGGGGAUAACGUGGGGAAACUUACGCUAAUACCGCAUACGACCUACGGGUGAAAGCAGGGGAUCUUCGGACCUUGCGCGAUUGAAUGAGCCGAUGUCGGAUUAGCUAGUUGGCGGGGUAAAGGCCCACCAAGGCGACGAUCCGUAGCUGGUCUGAGAGGAUGAUCAGCCACACUGGAACUGAGACACGGUCCAGACUCCUACGGGAGGCAGCAGUGGGGAAUAUUGGACAAUGGGCGCAAGCCUGAUCCAGCCAUACCGCGUGGGUGAAGAAGGCCUUCGGGUUGUAAAGCCCUUUUGUUGGGAAAGAAAAGCAGCAGGUUAAUACCCCGCUGUUCUGACGGUACCCAAAGAAUAAGCACCGGCUAACUUCGUG
rnacentral:rRNA from 1 species